rnacentral:rRNA from 1 species
GUAGGGUGCGAGCGUUAAUCGGAAUUACUGGGCGUAAAGCGUGCGCAGGCGGUUUUGUAAGCCAGAUGUGAAAUCCCCGGGCUUAACCUGGGAACUGCAUUUGGGUCUGCAAGGCUAGAGUGUGUCAGAGGGGGGUAGAAUUCCACGUGUAGCAGUGAAAUGCGUAGAGAUGUGGAGGAAUACCGAUGGCGAAGGCAGCCCCCUGGGAUAACACUGACGCUCAUGCACGAAAGCGUGGGGAGCAAACAGGAUUAGAUACCCUGGUAGUCCACGCCCUAAACGAUGUCGACUAGUUGUCGGAGGAGAGAUUCUUUGGUAACGCAGCUAACGCGUGAAGUCGACCGCCUGGGGAGUACGGCCGCAAGGUUA